rnacentral:rRNA from 1 species
AGAGUUUGAUCAUGGCUCAGGAUGAACGCUAGCUACAGGCUUAACACAUGCAAGUCGAGGGGCAGUAUGGUCUUAGCUUGCUAAGGCUGAUGGCGACCGGCGCACGGGUGAGUAACACGUAUCCAACCUGCCGUCUACUCUUGGCCAGCCUUCUGAAAGGAAGAUUAAUCCAGGAUGGGAUCAUGAGUUCACAUGUCCGCAUGAUUAAAGGUAUUUUCCGGUAGACGAUGGGGAUGCGUUCCAUUAGAUAGUAGGCGGGGUAACGGCCCACCUAGUCAACGAUGGAUAGGGGUUCUGAGAGGAACGGUCCCCCACAUUGGAACUGAGACACGGUCCAAACUCCGUACGGGAGGCA